GACGAACGCUGGCGGCGUGCUUAACACAUGCAAGUCGAACGGAAAGGCCCUGCUUUUGUGGGGUGCUCGAGUGGCGAACGGGUGAGUAACACGUGAGUAACCUGCCCUUGACUUUGGGAUAACUUCAGGAAACUGGGGCUAAUACCGGAUAGGAGCUCCUGCUGCAUGGUGGGGGUUGGAAAGUUUCGGCGGUUGGGGAUGGACUCGCGGCUUACCAGCUUGUUGGUGGGGUAGUGGCUUACCAAGGCUUUGACGGGUAGCCGGCCUGAGAGGGUGGACGGCGUCAUUGGUACUGAGGUACGGCCCAGACUCCAACGGGAGGCAGUAGUGGGGAGUAUUGUACAAUGGGCGGACGCGUGAUGCAGAAACGCCGCGUGCGGGAUGACGGCCUUCGGGUUGUAAACCGCUUUAGCCUGUGACGAAGCGUGAGUGACGGUAAUGGGUAAAGAAGCACCGGCUAACUACGUG
rnacentral:rRNA from 1 species